AUUGAACGCUGGCGGCAGGCCUAACACAUGCAAGUCGAGCGGAUGAAGGGAGCUUGCUCCUGGAUUCAGCGGCGGACGGGUGAGUAAUGCCUAGGAAUCUGCCUGGUAGUGGGGGAUAACGUCCGGAAACGGGCGCUAAUACCGCAUACGUCCUGAGGGAGAAAGUGGGGGAUCUUCGGACCUCACGCUAUCAGAUGAGCCUAGGUCGGAUUAGCUAGUUAGUGGGGUAAAGGCCUACCAAGGCGACGAUCCGUAACUGGUCUGAGAGGAUGAUCAGUCACACUGGAACUGAGACACGGUCCAGACUCCUACGGGAGGCAGCAGUGGGGAAUAUUGGACAAUGGGCGAAAGCCUGAUCCAGCCAUGCCGCGUGUGUGAAGAAUGUCUUCGGAUUGUAAAGCACUUUAAGUUGGGAGGAAGGGCAGUAAGUUAAUACCUUGCUGUUUUGACGUUACCAACAGAAUAAGCACCGGCUAACUUCGUG
rnacentral:rRNA from 1 species